GGACGCUGUAUGCGGUAAAAAUCGCACGUACAGUGUUAAGGGGGGGGAUGGGAAUAGAGGACUGGCAUUUGAAUUGCUGUUAACCAAUAC
rnacentral:misc_RNA from 1 species